AAAAAAACGUAGAGGAUAUACUGAUCGACCUGGUCCAUUUCACGCGAUAGGCAAAGGUCGAUUUCAUACAGAUCGACCGAUCUCGAAUUAUAGACCGAUCGAUCCGUGGAAGCAUAGAUAUGAAUCAUGGUAGAAAUAAUGUGAAAAUUUUGUAAAAAAUUUGUGAACAAUCAAUGGAAUAUAGAAGACGGUAUGAGAAGAAGGUUACCACUUUUUUUUGUUUUUUUGUUUUUUUAAUGGAUUUUUUCAAAAUAUGAAAGUGAAUAUUCCCAAAUAUUUUAUUUCCAUAUUUUUAAGAAUUGAUUUCUUAUCCGUAUAAUACAUCUAUGUGUUAUUGGUUUAUAUAUUUUGAUUGAUUUAUAAAUCUAAAUAGUAUUUAUAAAUCCAAGUAAAAUAUGCAAAUCUGGAGGUUUUCCCUCAGAUUUGAGUCUUUGUAUUUUUAACUAAAAAAUCCAAACAAAUUCAUUCAAAUUCAUUAUAAAAUCAAAUGUAUUAGUAAAUCCGUACGAUUGAAUAACACUUGAUUUGAUAUAGAAUUUAUGAAUUAUUAAAC
rnacentral:lncRNA from 1 species